UACAGAGGGUGCAAGCGUUGUUCGGAAUUAUUGGGCGUAAAGGGCGCGUAGGCGGGUUCUUAAGUUAGAGGUGAAAGCCCGGAGCUCAACUCCGGAACUGCCAUUGAAAACUGUGGAACUUGAGGAUGAGAGAGGUGAGUGGAAUUCCCAGUGUAGAGGUGAAAAUUCGUAGAUAUUGGGAAGAACACCGGUGGCGAAGGCGGCUCACUGGCUCAUUUCUGACGCUCAGGCGCGACAGCGUGGGGAUCAAACAGG
rnacentral:rRNA from 1 species